CAGUAGCCACGGGAAUACGAAGGGGGCUAGCGUUGCUCGGAAUGACUGGGCGUAAAGGGCGCGUAGGCGGAUUGUUUAGUUAGGCGUGAAAUUCCUGGGCUUAACCUGGGGACUGCGCUUAAUACAGGCAGUCUAGAGUGAAGAAGAGGGUUGUGGGAUUCCCAGUGUAGAGGUGAAAUUCGUAGAUAUUGGGAAGAACACCAGUGGCGAAGGCGGCUCACUGGACCGACACUGACGCUGAGGCGCGAAAGCGUGGGGAGCAAACAGGAUUAGAGACCCCCGUAGUCCCUGUCUCUUAUAC
rnacentral:rRNA from 1 species